rnacentral:tRNA from 1 species
GGGCGAUUAGCUCAGGGGUAGAGCACCUGCCUUACAAGCAGGGGGUCGCUGGUUCAAAUCCAGCAUCGCCCACCA